UAGGUUGGUGCAAAAGUAAUUUGGGGUUUUUGCCAUUGAAAGUCAUGGCAAAAACCACAGUUACUUUUGCAUCCACCUAAUACA
rnacentral:miRNA from 10 species